rnacentral:misc_RNA from 1 species
ACCUAAAACGUUGCUUCGGCGGGAACAGACGGCCCCGUAACACGGGCCGCCCCCGCCAGAGGACCCCCUAACUCUGUUUCUAUUAUGUUUCUUCUGAGUAAAACAAGCAAAUAAAUUAAAACUUUCAACAACGGAUCUCUUGGCUCUGGCAUCGAUGAAGAACGCAGCGAAAUGCGAUAAGUAAUGUGAAUUGCAGAAUUCAGUGAAUCAUCGAAUCUUUGAACGCACAUUGCGCCCGCCAGUAUUCUGGCGGGCAUGCCUGUUCGAGCGUCAUUACAACCCUCAGGCCCCCGGGCCUGGCGUUGGGGAUCGGCGAGGCGCCCCCUGCGGGCACACGCCGUCCCCCAAAUACAGUGGCGGUCCCGCCGCAGCUUCCAUUGCGUAGUAGCUAACACCUCGCAACUGGAGAGCGGCGCGGCCACGCCGUAAAACACCCAACUUCUGAAUGUUGACCUCGAAUCAGGUAGGAAUACCCGCUGAACUU